GCUGUCUUGGCAGAUAAUAUGUUCUAGAUUUAGGAUCUAGGUAAAUAGGAGUGGUCCUAUAGACAGUA
rnacentral:tRNA from 1 species